GUGUCAGUGGUGCAACGGAUAACAUACGGUCGCGGAAAGAGUGAGUGAUCUGGGUUCGAAUCCCGGCUGACGCA